AUUGAUUAUUUAAAUUCAUUCACGUAUUUGAAUUAUAUAUAAACUAAAUAAUUUAAUUAUUCCAUAAUUUUUUUUUUAUAAUAAAGAGUGAAAGGGAGUAUAUAUAGAUUGAUAGAUAAAGAUACAUAUACCACUAGAUCUAACGAAAAAAAUAAAAUAAGGUGAAACUCUACACAAUGGCUUUUCGUUUCAAUCACCUUUCUCUUUUCUGUAUUUUAAGCAUUGUUAUGGUUUUUCUUUCGGCAGCAUCUGUGAAUUGUCAAAAUCCUCCGGGACAUACAUGCAUAGAUAGAUGCGAAGAUGCAGGAAGCACUCCAUUUUGCAAUAAAACUUGCAUAGAUAAGGGUUACAAAUCCGGUGGCAAAUGUGUUUAUAACACUCCAAAUGAUGCGUAUUGUUGUUGUGUCAAUAAUUAAGAAUGGGUUACUGUAAAAUUAUAAUCAUUAAAAUAAUAAAUAAACACCUCUCCCUUUUUUAUUA